rnacentral:lncRNA from 1 species
UCUUUAGCGAAAGAGAGGGAAUAAAAACAAGACCAAUAAAUAAUUGUUUACUUCUUUAAACAUCUUAUUUUAUUUGUUUUCAGCAUCCAGCAAGACAUGGUGGUGAUCCCUGGCUCUAAGUCUUCAUGAUUAAGUGACUCUUUUGCACAACACAAAGGCCUUGCCCUACACAUCUGGGAGCCAACAUCUAUCAGCAGGCAUUCUUGCUCACCACCUAGAAGCAGAGUCAGACCUGGAAGCAGCCUAUUUCAGACCAGUAGCCCGGAC